GUGUCUCCAGAAGAUGAGUUGGACAAUCUACAACAACUCUUAGACAUACAACCUACUGCAACUACUACUCCUAGUAGUUCUGAUCCUUCUGAUUCUUCAGAUCCUUCUGUUGUUGGUUCAUCCUCUAGCAAAAAGAGGACACGUGGCCUAACACGUAACUUAGAUUUACUUAGUAUGAAACCCGGGGAAAAAAAAACUACACGAUUCAAUACCAGAGGGCAAGUUGUUUAUGAUGGAAAAGGGGAAAGAUUGUCAAGCUAUAUGGGAACAUUGGUGCGAUCUCAACACAAUGUACCCAUCUAAGUUCAAGAUUGGAAUCAUGUUAGUGAAGAUGUGAAGGAAAAGAUUUGGGCCUUAGUAUUGGAAAAAUAUGAACUAGAAGAAACAUGUAAGAGCUACAUUCUUCAAUGUUGUGAAAAUUUGUUUAGAAGCUAUAGAAAUAAAAUGAAGGCCAAGUAUUAUGACCCUUAUAAUACA